GUUUAACAAAAACAUGUCUUUUUGAUUAUAAUUUAAGGUCUGACCUGCCCAAUGAUUUAUAUUAAAUGGCCGCAGUAUACUGACUGUGCAAAGGUAGCAUAAUCAUUAGUUUUUUAAUUGAAAGCUGGAAUGAAAGGUUGAAUGAGAAAAUAACUGUCUCUAUUUAAAUUUUUUAGAAUUUUAUUUUUAAGUAAAAAAGCUUAAAUAAAGGUAAAAGACGAGAAGACCCUAUAGAGUUUUAUAUUUCUUGGUUAGUGAAAUUUUAGGAUUUUCUGUUUUAUUGUCUAAGAAAUAUUUAGUUGGGGUGAUUGAAAAAUUAAAAAAACUUUUUUUAAAUUUUUACAUUGAUUUAUGAUUUUUUGAUCCUUAUAUAAAGAUUAUAAGAUUAAAUUACCUUAGGGAUAACAGCGUAAUUUUUUUUGAGAGUUCUAAUCGAAAAGAAAGGUUGCGACCUCGAUGUUGGAUUAAAA
rnacentral:rRNA from 1 species